GGACAUGCCAGCUUUGCAAAGAUGGUGGUGUGUUAUGCUGAUGGAGAAUUUUGACCUUGGAUGCCAUCAUAAAAUGUUUGCACACUGGACGGAGAUGUAAAGAGCCCUCCUGCGUGGUGAGGUGCAACCAGUGUUCAGACUGAAGAAGCGAAAGUUUGAGAAUAUCUCUGAGGACAAAUUGCUCCGUUGAAAGCACUUCGAAGACAACAGUUGAAGUGGAUAGAGUGAAGGCCAGGAUUGUAAAUGACUGUAAAGAGGCCGCAGAAUGGGUUAACGCAAACCUGCACUUGUUCUCUGAUGCCGUGGAAUUGCCUGACAUACUGAAGAUGGGGGAAGUGGAACUGGCAGAGGCUGUACAGCAGUAUGAAAAGCUUUGGGGUGAGGAGGAAGUGGAUGAAGAUGAAAAGGAGUUAAUCUUGGAGAAUUUCAAGUUUGCUUUCAGGAACCCUGAAGACAUGAAUGUGUUUUGUGAGGAAAUCGCAGACAGUCGAGGGUAUUUGGCAUACUGUGAAUGCCGAAAAUAACUUGUUUUCAUUGCAUUCAAUACCUGUUCAUUACUCACCAUUGCACAAAGUGAACAAUUCACUUUUAAAUCGUAUUUCAAAUGUAAAGUUGCUGUUUUAUUUUUUUUUCAACCAGGUUAUUUGGAACCGUAGCUUAUUGCCUUGUUUACUUUAACAACUGUAUAUUUUAUGCUGUUUAAUUGUUUAGCAGAAAGACUGAAGAAGGCAUGUUUUUCACCUUGUUCCU